GGAGAAACCCAUGACAAAAAGGUUAUUACAAUUUGAGACACUUUUAAGAAAUAUUAUAAUGGUAAGCAUUGCUUUAUGCUAAAGGAACAUGUUUGCACUUGGUGAUAAAUAAUUUUACUUUUCAGGAAGGGAGAACAGACUCCAAAGAAGAGUAGAUGUGAUGACACCAAGAAAGAGCAGCCACAUAUUACCUCGAGAGGUUAACCGGAAUGCAAAUCAACAGAAUAUGAUACUGACCAAGUACCAGGAAGAGGUGUCCCCAUCACUGUAGAUGACAAGUGAUGACAGUUAUCUUGAUGGACUACAGGAAUGAUUCAAGUGCAUUCAUUAUGCAGUUUACUGAUUUGUUUGAUGUAUUUUGAUAAUUGUUCUGGCAUUCUGAUGUCAGCUGAGUAACACCUCCAUAAUGGAGACAAAUUAAGGAACUUCUGUUUUGAAGCAGUAAAAUAGUCUCAGCAAGAAUUUUUAUUUAUUUUGCCAGCAGAACAGAAGUUUCCAUUAAUUUUCC